GAUGAACGCUGGCGGCGUGCCUAAUACAUGCAAGUCGAGCGAACGGACGAGAAGCUUGCUUCUCUGAUGUUAGCGGCGGACGGGUGAGUAACACGUGGAUAACCUACCUAUAAGACUGGGAUAACUUCGGGAAACCGGAGCUAAUACCGGAUGAUAUUUUGAACCGCAUGGUUCAAAAGUGAAAGACGGUCUUGCUGUCACUUAUAGAUGGAUCCGCGCUGCAUUAGCUAGUUGGUAAGGUAACGGCUUACCAAGGCAACGAUGCAUAGCCGACCUGAGAGGAUGAUCGGCCACACUGGAACUGAGACACGGUCCAGACUCCUACGGGAGGCAGCAGUAGGGAAUCUUCCGCAAUGGGCGAAAGCCUGACGGAGCAACGCCGCGUGAGUGAUGAAGGUCUUCGGAUCGUAAAACUCUGUUAUUAGGGAAGAACAUAUGUGUAAGUAACUGUGCACAUCCUGACGGUACCUAAUCAGAAAGCCACGGCUAACUACGUG
rnacentral:rRNA from 1 species